GCCGAGAUGGUGAAACUGGUAGACACGCACGUUUCAGAGGCGUGUGGCCGUGAGGCUGUGAGGGUUCGACUCCCUCUCUCGGCA
rnacentral:tRNA from 1 species